GAUGAACGCUGGCGGCGUGCCUAAUACAUGCAAGUCGAGCGAACAGAUCAGGAGCUUGCUCCUCUGACGUUAGCGGCGGACGGGUGAGUAACACGUGGAUAACCUACCUAUACGACUGGGAUACCUUCGGGAAACCGGAGCUAAUACCGGAUAAUAUAUUGAACCGCAUGGUUCAAUAGUGAAAGACGGUUUUGCUGUCACUUAUAGAUGGAUCCGCGCCGCAUUAGCUAGUUGGUAAGGUAACGGCUUACCAAGGCAACGAUGCGUAGCCGACCUGAGAGGGUGAUCGGCCAGCCGGGCACUGAGACACGGUCCAGACUCCUACGGGAGGCAGCAGUAGGGAAUCUUCCGCAAUGGGCGAAAGCCUGACGGAGCAACGCCGCGGGAGUGAUGAAGGUCUUCGGAUCGGAAAGCUCUGUUAUUAGGGAGGAACAAAUGUGUAAGUAACUAUGCACGUCUUGACGGUACCUAAUCAGAAAGCCACGGCUAACUACGUG
rnacentral:rRNA from 1 species